GGAGUAUAGCUCAGUGGCAGAGUGUGUGCUUUGUAUGCGCAAGGACCUGGGUUCAAUCCCUAGUACUUACA
rnacentral:tRNA from 1 species